ensembl:lncRNA
CCCGGCGGCUCCGCGCCCCUGCCCGCGGGCAGCCUGCGGCAGCCCCGCCGCGCCCCCACCCGCCGCCGCUUUUUUUGUCAAUGGCAGAGCUGCCGGGCAGCGCCCAUUUAGGGCACCGGCGCUCGGCGACCGCCAAUGAGGCUGCAGAGGGUGGGCGGCCGCCCCUCGACCUCGGCCCCCGUUUCCCCCGCCCCUCUCGGCCCCGCCGCAGACAAUGGGAGGGUCCCGCGCCCCGCCGCCGCCUCGUUCUGCGUCCGGCAGCGUCCGCCCCUUGGCAGGCGCCCCCACGGGCCUGAGAGCAUCCCCCGAGAGCGUCCUCCCAUGGCAUCCUCCCGACAGGCAUCCCCCGAGUGUAUCCCCUCCAGAGUAUCCCGCCGAGAGCAUCCACCGAGAGCCUGCCCUCCACAGCAUCCCUCCCGGAGCGUCCCCCGAGUGCCUCACUCCCAGUCAUCUUCCGCAGAGCAUCUCCCCGGGCCCUCAGUGCCCGCGCAGGUGUGGGGCAGUUCAAUAAUCAGUCUAUGGAUAUUGACCCCAUCAUUCACUGUGACCAACACUUCAAAUUAGCCUAGAUAGAGGGAAACUUCGAUCUCAACACCCAUCUGUGCUUCGAAGAACCCACCUGGAGCACUGCCUCCAGUUCUGGGGGCCUCAGCACAAGAAUAUCGACCUGCUGGAGCUGGUACAGAUGAGGCCACAAGAAUGAUUGGAGAGCUGGAGCCCAUCUGCUCUGGAGACAGGCUGGAAGAGCUGGGGGUAUUCACCUGGAGAAGAAGGGCUCCAGGAGUGCUGCAGAGGGACUUUGGGCAACCGCCUAGAGGGCCAGGACAAAAGAGAAUGGCUUCCCACUGCCGGAGGGCGUGGUUAAAUGGGAUAUGGGGAAGGAAUUAUUGGCUGUGAGGGUGGGGAGGUCCUGGAAGAGGUUUCCAAGAGAAGCUGUGGCUGCCCCAUCCCUGAAAAUGUCCAAGGCCAGUUUGGAUGGGGCUUGGAGCAUCCUGGGACAGUGGAAGGUGUCCCUGCCAUGGCAGGGUUAGGAAUGAGAUGGGCUUUAAGAUUUCUUCCAACCCAAACUUCUGUAAUCCAUCUUUAGGUGAAGUCAGAGACGUGGGACGCUGGCUUUGCCAAAGGCUGUGCCCUGUAACAGCUGUGACAUUUCUGCUCUGUAAAUUCACCAAAGGACUCUAGUUGCCACUACUGCCAAGCUGCUUUCUCAAGUAUUAGGUCCAUACAAACAUACCAUAUGUUUUUGUAAUUAAAAUUUAAAUAAAGAAAGAAAAAUAAAAGGAGAAGUUUUACCAAGUAAUUAUUCCCUGAG